UACGUAGGGGGCAAGCGUUGUCCGGAUUUAUUGGGCGUAAAGAGCGUGUAGGCGGCCAUGUAGGUCCGUUGUGAAAACUCGAGGCUCAACCUCGAGACGCCGAUGGAAACCAUGUGGCUAGAGUCCAGAAGAGGAGAGUGGAAUUCCUGGUGUAGCGGUGAAAUGCGCAGAUAUCAGGAAGAACACCCGUGGCUAAGGCGGCUCUCUAGUACGGUACUGACGCUGAGACGCGAAAGCGUGGGGAGCAAACAGG
rnacentral:rRNA from 1 species